CGUGAGUGACGAAGGCUUUCGGGUCGUAAAGCUCUGUCAAGUGGGAAGACCCUGCAGUAUGCUAAUAUCAUAUUGCACUGACGGUACCACUGAAGGAAGCACCGGCUAACUCCGUGCCAGCAGCCGCGGUAAUACGGGGGGUGCAAGCGUUAUUCGGAAUCAUUGGGCGUAAAGAGCACGUAGGCGGCUUGGUAAGUCAGAUGUGAAAGCCCGGGGCUUAACCCCGGAAGUGCAUUUGAUACUGUCAGGCUUGAGUAUGGGAGAGGGAAGUGGAAUUCCUGGUGUAGAGGUGAAAUUCGUAGAUAUCAGGAGGAACACCGGUGGCGAAGGCGACUUCCUGGACCAAUACUGACGCUGAGGUGCGAAGGCGUGGGUAGCAAACAGGAUUAGAUACCCUGGUAGUCCACGCAGUAAACGUUGUUCACUAGGUGUA
rnacentral:rRNA from 1 species